GUCCAGGUAGCUCAAUUGGUAAAGCACCCGACUAGUGAUCGGAGGUCCCGGGUUCGAACCCCGGUCUGGCCG